rnacentral:lncRNA from 1 species
UUCCCACCAAUGGAAAGCAAAAUAUGCUAAUGCACCCACAAAAGCAAUAGCUAUAAUAAUAAUCAAAGCAUGAGAUUCAGAGUGACUUGUUGUUGCAUUUGUAUCAUUAACUGGAUUCUUAGUUGUAUCCAAAAGUAACAAUGUUUGAGGUAAGUCCUUUACACAUAUACUUCCAUUUUUUACUCUUGCCCAACCAACCAUACAUUGUUCACAUGCUAGUCCAGCAUAUCCUGUACACAAAAAAGAUUAGCAUUAUCUCUCUCUCUCUCUCGAAAUAUAUACAUAUAUAUAUAUAUAACCUUCCUUUGACAUCUUCAUUUUGUCUUUGCCACUACUUUUACUACUCAAAUCAUGCAUUCAAAAGUGCCAUCCAUGUCUCAUUUUUUAAAUCUAAAAAAUUAGAGAACUAAAUUUGCUACGAGUUAUAAAUCUUAUACUUUAAAUUUUCCACAUGAUAUAUAUAUAUAUAUAUAUAUAUAUAUAUAUAUCAAGUAUACUUGGUUUCAAAAAUAAAUAGAAGUAUUACCCAAAAAACAUUUACAUUGACCACUUGCAUCCAAGCAAAUGCCUCUGCGAGAGCAAGCUUGUGAUGGGUUGUUGUUGUGGGGUCCAUGAGGUGGAAUAGGGCAUGCAAACGACACGUAUGGGCAAUCUUGGAAGCAACAAGUAUUGCUACCGUGGUGGAUGGCACUCUCGUAGUUCAUAUCACACCGUUCCCCUUUCUCGCACUCUCCAUUCCCACAAAUCCCAGUCUUUUUGAUAUUGGGAACAUUUG